AUACAGUAUGUUGUAACGUUUCCCUAACUUUCUGCGAAAGUGUUGUGUUUUGUGAACAAUCUGACGCCGGCUGAGUCAAGGCUGCACGCACAGUAGGUGGCGGUAAUGCACACACAAGGUUGCUUGCCAACCGCCAUGAAAAUCAGAAGAAGGAGAAGAAGACUGCACGCAUGCACAAUUGAAGCUGCUCCGUGAGACAAAGAAGGACGAAGGCUAACUACUUCCAGAAUCCCGAUUUUAAAGCAAUUUGGUGCGCCAUCCAUUUAUCACAAGUAAGUAUAGAAAGAGUGAAAUACGAAGCACGUUUUUGUAUAACAAUUUCCAACCUACAUGAUUAAUUUCAGACCAUUUUACGGUUUUAGCGUUGUGUAUAAAUGCGCGCCGGCGCUAACUAGCAUACAUUUCUCGUGCAGGUUGGCUGUUAUAAAGUUUCCAAACUGACCAAAGACCAACGAAUGACUUCUUAAGAAGGGUGGAUUUAUUUGUAGUUUAGUUAAACAAUAAUUUGCCCCGUCAGUGAUAUGGUUUGAAUGCUGCCUGAACGUUCCGAAUUUGGCAGACACGGUGAGGACAAUGCUGAGGAAAAUUGCCACAAACAAAGUCCUGGAGCAGCUUAGCCUCUGUGGAAAGUCAGGAAAAGUGGCGUUUGAGGACUUGCCCCUUUACAGAAUAAUAAAUAAGGCAUGCAGGGGUGUUUACAAGCAGAUGACCACAGCUGAAGUGGAUUGUGAGCUUGGAGAGGUCCUGAAACUGGCCACUUUUCGAAAGGGAGUUUCAAAAUUUGAGGAGAAGAGGAGGAAUUAAGAGGGGGGACAAAAAAGGAAAAAGAAACAAGCAAAAGAACAGAGUGAGAUGAGAGAUGGCUCCCUCUUUUGUGGUCGUUGAGUUCCUUGGUGAACAUUCAGUCGCUGUUGUCCCAACCAAAUGGACAGAAGAUGAUGGAAAGAAUACCUUCUGCUAUUGGCCAAGGCCAAAUCCUACCCACUCCAGAAUCCGGAAAGCUGAGAUUCCUGACAAACAAUUCUGGGAGAGGCUGCCAAUUCGGGUUUUCAGGAAAACAUUGACUGCGAGUACCAGACCACUUCAGCCAGUACCAGCCAAUACCAGACCACUCCAAGGCAUCCAGGCCGACCUCACAGCCCAGCGAGAAGCAGCACUUCCAGGCUCAGUCCAGACAGGAAUGCAUCCAGCUCAAGCCAGUACCAGACUGCUCAAGCCAGUACCAGACCACUCCA